CAUCAUCAUCAGUGUUUCUAUUUGACGAAAACGGUGCCUACUGUCACGGGAGGCGUCUUUGUCAUAUAAGAAGAGGAUCAUAGGUAAUAUUUAAACGAAAACUGUCCAUUUUCUGUUUAUGAAAGGAAGGAAGGAACCAAGAGACCAAGUUGACAAGAGAUGAUGCGUCGUCAUCUAUUUUCUUGGAAUAUUUUCCCAUGGAUCAUGACUGGUGUCGUUUCAUACAGUCUGGAUGGAAGAGCUUACUAAGAAACUAAGUACGUACUACAGUUUGAUUUGAACUGCUCUUGGCGGCAUAACAACAGCGCCUAUUUCCACCACAUCAAGUCGUCGUCUAAGAUAACCUGUUUUGUUAUAAACGAUCACUGAUAAUCUAUGAAGGAACAUGUUUUCUUCGUAUCAAAUUAAUUUUCUUCAAUGACAUACUCUAGGUAUUCUCCAAAAAACCCAUCGAUUGUUGGAAAAAUGGCAUCUCAAAUGUAGCCUAACCUACACGGGUAAUCAGUACUGUCCUUACUUAGGGGGAAACACUGUAGUGGAGCCUUAUUCA